CGGGAAACCGGAGCUAAUACCGAUAAUAUUUCGAACCGCAUGGUUCGAUAGUGAAAGAUGGUUUUGUCUAUCACUUAUAGAUGGACCCGCGCCGUAUUAGCUAGUUGGUAAGGUAACGGCUUACCAAGGCGACGAUACGUAGCCGACCUGAGAGGGUGAUCGGCCACACUGGAACUGAGACACGGUCCAGACUCCUACGGGAGGCAGCAGCC
rnacentral:rRNA from 1 species